rnacentral:rRNA from 1 species
AGUGAACGCUGGCGGUAGGCCUAACACAUGCAAGUCGAACGGCAGCACAGUAAGAGCUUGCUCUUACGGGUGGCGAGUGGCGGACGGGUGAGGAAUACAUCGGCAUCUACUUUUUCGUGGGUGAUAACGUAGGGAAACUUACGCUAAUACCGCAUAUGACCUACGGCUGAAAGCAGUGGAUCUUCGGACCUUGCCCGUUUCAAUGAGCCGAUGUCGGAUUAGCUAGUUGGCGGGGUAAAGGCCCACCAAGGCGACGAUCCGUAGCUGGUCUGAGAGGAUGAUCAGCCACACUGGAACUGAGACACGGUCCAGACUCCUACGGGAGGCAGCAGUGGGGAAUAUUGGACAAUGGGCGAAAGCCUGAUCCAGCCAUACCGCGUGGGUGAAGAAGGCCUUCGGGUUGUAAAGCCCUUUUGUUGGGAAAGAAAGGCAGCAGGUGAAUACCCCGAUGUUCUGACGGUACCCAAAGAAUAAGCACCGGCUAACUUCGUG